GAUGAACGCUGGCGGCGUGCCUAAUACAUGCAAGUCGAACGCUGGAACUCUAGCUUGCUAGAUUGAAGGAGUGGCGAACGGGUGAGUAAUACAUAAGCAACCUACCCACGAAGACUGGGAUAAUCUCUGGAAACGGGGACUAAUACCGGAUAGGUAAUCGGAAGGCAUCUUCUGAUUAUUAAAGGUCAAAAACACUGGUGGAUGGGCUUAUGGCGCAUUAGUUAGUUGGUGAGGUAACGGCCCACCAAGACGAUGAUGCGUAGCCGGCCUGAGAGGGUGAACGGCCACAUUGGGACUGAGACACGGCCCAGACUCCGACGGGAGGCAGCAGUAGGGAAUGUUAGGCAAUGGGGGAAACCCUGACCGAGCAACGCCGCGUGAGUGAGGACGGCCUUCGGGUUGUAAAGCUCUGUUGUAAGGGAAGAACGGUAGAUAGAGAAUAUCUAAAUGACGGUACCUUACCAGAAAGCCACGGCUAACUACGUG
rnacentral:rRNA from 1 species